UACGUAGGGUGCGAGCGUUGUCCGGAAUUAUUGGGCGUAAAGAGCUUGUAGGCGGUUUGUCGCGUCUGCCGUGAAAUUUCGGGGCUCAACCCCGAACUUGCGGUGGGUACGGGCAGACUAGAGUGUGGUAGGGGAGACUGGAAUUCCUGGUGUAGCGGUGAAAUGCGCAGAUAUCAGGAGGAACACCGAUGGCGAAGGCAGGUCUCUGGGCCAUUACUGACGCUGAGGAGCGAAAGCGUGGGGAGCGAACAGG
rnacentral:rRNA from 1 species